rnacentral:rRNA from 1 species
CAGAGGUGCUGCAUGGCUGUCGUCAGCUCGUGUCGUGAGAUGUUGGGUUAAGUCCCGCAACGAGCGCAACCCUUAUCAUUAGUUGCCAGCGCGUCAUGGCGGGGACUCUAAUGAGACUGCCCGGGUUAACCGGGAGGAAGGUGGGGAUGACGUCAAGUCCUCAUGGCCCUUAUGUCCAGGGCUACACACGUGCUACAAUGGACUGUACAAAGGGUUGCCAGCCUGCGAAGGUGAGCCAAUCCCAUAAAGCAGUUCAUAGUUCGGAUUGGAGUCUGCAACUCGACUCCAUGAAGCUGGAAUCGCUAGUAAUCGUGGAUCAGCACGCCACGGUGAAUACGUUCCCGGGCCUUGUACACACCGCCCGUCACACCAUGAGAGUUGGUUGUACCAGAAGUCGUUGGGCAAACCCUUUAGGGAUGCAGGCGCCUAA